rnacentral:rRNA from 1 species
UUUGUAGAAUGAACCGGCGAGUUACGAUUUGUUGCAAGGUUAAGCGGAAAAAGCGGAGCCGUAGCGAAAGCGAGUCUGAAUAGGGCGCAUAAGUAACAGGUCGUAGACCCGAAACCAGGUGAUCUACCCAUGUCCAGGAUGAAGGUAAGGUAAUACUUACUGGAGGUCCGAACCCACGCACGUUGAAAAGUGCGGGGAUGAGGUGUGGGUAGCGGAGAAAUUCCAAUCGAACUUGGAGAUAGCUGGUUCUCUCCGAAAUAGCUUUAGGGCUAGCCUCGAGGUAAAGAGUCAUGGAGGUAGAGCACUGUUUGGACUAGGGGCCCUUCUCGGGUUACCGAAUUCAGAUAAACUCCGAAUGCCAUGUACUUAUACUCGGGAGUCAGACUGCGAGUGAUAAGAUCCGUAGUCGAAAGGGAAACAGCCCAGACCACCAGUUAAGGUCCCCAAAUAUAUGUUAAGUGGAAAAGGAUGUGGGGUUGCUUAGACAACCAGGAUGUUGGCUUAGAAGCAGCCACCAUUGAAAGAGUGCGUAAUAGCUCACUGGUCGAGUGACCCCGCGCCGAAAAUGUACCGGGGCUAAACAUAUUACC